CCCACGAAGCUGGAUUCGCUAGUAAUCGCGCAUCAGCCAUGGCGCGGUGAAUACGUUCCCGGGCCUUGUACACACCGCCCGUCAAGCCAUGAAAGCCGGGGGUGCCUGAAGUUCGUAACCGGAAGGAGCGACCUAGGGCAAAACUGGUGAUUGGGGCUAAGUCGUAACAAGGUAGCCGUACCGGAAGGUGCGGCUGGAACACCUCCUUUCUGGAG
rnacentral:rRNA from 1 species